AACGCGAAGAACCUUACCAGCCCUUGACAUGCCUCGUAUGGGGUCGAGAGAUCGGCUCCUUCAGUUCGGCUGGCGGGGACACAGGUGCUGCAUGGCUGUCGUCAGCUCGUGUCGUGAGAUGUUGGGUUAAGUCCCGCAACGAGCGCAACCCUUAUCGUUAGUUGCCAACGCGUAAUGGCGGGAACUCUAACGAGACUGCCUGGGUUAACCAGGAGGAAGGCGAGGAUGACGUCAAGUCCGCAUGGCCUUUAUGUCCAGGGCUACACACGUGCUACAAUGGCCGGUACAGAAGGCAGCGAAACCGUAAGGCGGAGCAAAUCCUGUAAAACCGGUCUCAGUUCAGAUUGUAGUCUGCAACUCGGCUACAUGAAGUUGGAAUUGCUAGUAAUGGCGUGUCAGCAACAACGCCGUGAAUACGUUCCCGGGCCUUGUACACACCGCAUAC
rnacentral:rRNA from 1 species